rnacentral:misc_RNA from 1 species
GAUGAAGAAAGUAGCGAAAUGCGAUAAGUCAUGCGAAUUGCAGAAUUCAGUGAAUCAUCGAAUCUUUGAACGCACAUUGCGCCCGCUAGUAUUCUGGCGGGCAUGCCUGUCUGAGCGUCAUUUCAACCCUCGCCCCCGGCUUUUGCUGGGAGCGGUGUUGGGGAUCGGCCGCCCGUCACUGGGAGGCCGGCCCCGAAAUAGAGUGGCGACCACGCCGUGUGCUCCUCUGCGUAGUAGUAAAUCACCUCGCAGGCGGACAGCGGUGCGGCCUGCCGUAAAACCCCCAACUCUUUCUGGUUGACCUCAGAUCAGGUAGGAAUACCCGCUGAACUUAAGCAUAUCAAUAAGCGGAGGA